rnacentral:rRNA from 1 species
GUGACCUCAAAUCAGGUAGGACUACCCGCUGACUUAAGCAUAUCAUAGCGAGAAAGAACUACAGGAUCCCUAGUAACUGC